rnacentral:rRNA from 1 species
GCAGCAGUGGGGAAUAUUGGACAAUGGGGGCAACCCUGAUCCAGCCAUGCCGCGUGUAUGAAGAAGGCCUUCGGGUUGUAAAGUACUUUUGUUCGGGAAGAAAAGGAGGGUGCUAAUACCACCCUUUGCUGACGGUACCGAAAGAAUAAGCACCGGCUAACUACGUGCCAGCAGCCGCGGUAAUACGUAGGGUGCGAGCGUUAAUCGGAAUUACUGGGCGUAAAGCGAGCGCAGAUGGUUAUUUAAGCAGGAUGUGAAAUCCCCGGGCUCAACCUGGGAACUGCGUUCUGAACUGGAUAGCUAGAGUGUGUCAGAGGGGGGUAGAAUUCCACGUGUAGCAGUGAAAUGCGUAGAGAUGUGGAGGAAUACCGAUGGCGAAGGCAGCCCCCUGGGAUAACACUGACGUUCAUGCUCGAAAGCGUGGGUAGCAAACAGGAUUAGAUACCCUGGUAGUCCACGCCCUAAACGAUGUCGAUUAGCUGUUGGGCAACUUGAUUGCUUAGUAGCGUAGCUAACGCGUGAAAUCGACCGCCUGGGGAGUACGGUCGCAAGAUUAAAACUCAAAGGAAUUGACGGGGACCCGCACAAGCGGUGGAUGAUGUGGAUUAAUUCGAUGCAACGCGAAGAACCUUACCUGGUUUUGACAUGUACGGAACCCUUUAGAGAUAGAGGGGUGCCUUCGGGAGCCGUAACACAGGUGCUGCAUGGCUGUCGUCAGCUCGUGUCGUGAGAUGUUGGGUUAAGUCCCGCAACGAGCGCAACCCUUGUCAUUAGUUGCCAUCAUUUAGUUGGGCACUCUAAUGAGACUGCCGGUGACAAACCGGAGGAAGGUGGGGAUGACGUCAAGUCCUCAUGGCCCUUAUGACCAGGGCUUCACACGUCAUACAAUGGUCGGUACAGAGGGUAGCCAAGCCGCGAGGUGGAGCCAAUCCCAGAAAACCGAUCGUAGUCCGGAUUGCACUCUGCAACUCGAGUGCAUGAAGUCGGAAUCGCUAGUAAUCGCAGGUCAGCAUACUGCGGUGAAUACGUUCCCGGGUCUUGUACACACCGCCCGUCACACCAUGGGAGUGGGGGAUACCAGAAGCAGGUAGGGUAACCGCAAGGAGCUCGCUUGCCACGGUAUGCUUCAUGACUGGGGUGAAGUCGUAACAAGGUAGCCGUAGGGGAACCUGCGGCUG